AGAGAUUUAUUUUUAUUAAAUUUGUUAGAUUAUUGUAUCAGUUAGUCAGCUUUCAUUUUCCUGUUUUGGAUGCUUUGUGCUGCAGAAUAUCUGGGAUACAGUAGCAGGUGGGUUGCAAAGCCUUGAAACAGAAAUAGGUUGCAUUUCAGAGUCCAACUGUGAGCCUGUGAAGCAGCGAGCGCUCUCUCAAGGUCUGUUGCCUCAGAUUUGGUUAGAAAUGAUUGUAUCUAGGUGUAGGAUGGUGGCUUGGUCUUUCAGACGGCUUGAGUUCAUAACUGGCCCUUUUACCCUAAGACUUAUCAACCACCUCCCUCCCCCGAAGAAUGACGGAGAAGGUCAUAUGCCGGGGAUUUGGAGCUCGUGAAAAAAAAAUGUGGAGGAAAAAAAAGCAUAUCGAGAGCAUGAGUGGGAGUGUGUGCAUCAGGGGACGCAUGUGGAAGUGAAACAGAUCCCUCAGGCCUGCGAGCCGAUCGCACUGCAUUUGUCAGUCCUGCCCGGGCGACAUUUUUUUCCCUAAGCUACCGCACACUAAGCAGUGAGAGAGCUUUCCUCGCAGUCUUCUUGAAGCCCCCUGAUUUUUUUACUUAUUGUUGGUGGGUGUAUUUCAUUUUAUGCUUUAUUCCCUGGACUAUGGGUUAUGAUGUCAAUAUUCACUGGAGACAAAAAGCAACCUUUUCUGCAUCUCGGUGGUAGGCAUAUUCCUCUCUUCCUUUCAGACCGGUGGUGGAAAGGGGUUUUCUUUUCUUUGGGUGUCUGUUGAGCCAGUACAGUUACCAGCAGUGAGUUUGUCUUGAACUUGUGAGCGG
rnacentral:lncRNA from 1 species